rnacentral:rRNA from 1 species
AUUGAACGCUGGCGGCAGGCCUAACACAUGCAAGUCGAACGAGUGGCGGACGGGUGAGUAAUGUCUGGGAAACUGCCCGAUGGAUGGGGAUAACUACCGGAAACUGUUGCUAAUACCGCAUACCAUCGGAUGUGCCCAGAGGGGAUUAGCUAGUAGGUGGGGUAACGACUCACCAAGGCGACGAUCCCUAGCUGGUCUGAGAGGAUGACCAGGCACACUGGAACUGAGACACGGUCCAGACUCCUACGGGAGGCAGCAGUGGGGAAUAUUGCACAAUGGGCGCAAGCCUGAUGCAGCCAUGCCGCGUGUAUGAAGAAGGCCUUCGGGUUGUAAAGUACUUGCAGCGAGGAGGCGUUACUCGCAGAAGAAGCACCGGCUAACUCCGUGCCAGCAGCCGCGGUAAUUC